GAUGAACGCUGGCGGCGUGCCUAAUACAUGCAAGUCGAGCGAACGGACGAGAAGCUUGCUUCUCUGAUGUUAGCGGCGGACGGGUGAGUAACACGUGGAUAACCUCCCUAUAAGACUGGGAUAACUUCGGGAAACCGGAGCUAAUACCGGAUAAUAUUUUGAACCGCAUGGUUCAAUAGUGAAAGACGGUCUUGCUGUCACUUAUAGAUGGAUCCGCGCUGCAUUAGCUAGUUGGUAAGGUAACGGCUUACCAAGGCAACGAUGCAUAGCCGAGCUGAGAGAGUGAUAGGCCACACUAGAGCUGGGACACGGUCCAGACUCCUGCGGGAGGCAGCAGUAGGGAAUCUUCGGCAAUGGGCGAAAGCCUGACGGAGCAACGCCGCGUGUGUGAUGAAGGUCUCCGGAUCGUAAAACUCGGUUAUGAGGGAAGAACAUAUGUGUAAGGAACUGUGCACAGCUUGACGGUACCUAAUCAGAAAGCCACGGCUAACUACGUG
rnacentral:rRNA from 1 species